AAGCUCUGCAGGCAUUUUUAAGUGAAAUCGCUCGAAAUAUGUCAGAGUGAGAGCGAGGCGAGUAGCGAGCUCAAGCGAUAAAGCUAGAGAGCAGUUUGCAACCUGCUUUAUCGCUUCAACUCGCUCAGAGCGUACGAUUGUUUUGUUGCAUUCUGUGCUUUAUUUACCGUUUGCUUUCAAAGCAAGGGUGUAUAACAAAAUUUGGCCAAUUCUUCAUGAAACGACUAUUAAUUUUAUUUAAUAUAUAAUCAAAAGUCGAAAUAGACAUACGCGUAUAGUUAAAGAACCAAUCUGGGUAGUUUCGCAAAUCAUUGUAUAAAUUGUUGAAUUCCCCUUUUUCAUUUCAUUUCAUUUUAAACAAAAUUUAUAGUUGCACUUGAUGCGAAAAAUUCUUCGUCCGAAUCCAUCUCGUUCACAUUUUUGAAUAAAAGAAAGCAAUGUAGCUCGCUUCUCGUCUCGCUCUCACUCUGUCAUCUUCUCGCUUUGCUCAUAGCUUCUCGCUUCGCCUUGCAUCGCUUCGCUUCGCUUCUCGCGCGCACUCUGCCGUCAGCCUUACUCAUACCGACCUCCUACGGAAGACCCACCCAUGGAACUGGGGAGAGGACCAGCGGGCCGCGUUCGAGCUUCUGAAGAAGCUGCUAACCGAUAAUUCCAGGCUGACUUGUCCCGAUUUCUCGACCAAAAAAGCGCUCCAGACCGACGCAACUAAUUACGGAUUUGGCGGGGUCCUCACCUUCAUGGUCGACGGACAGAAACGGGUAUACCCCUACGUCAGUCGCGGGCUGGGUGCCGCCGAGUUGAACUACUCACCCACAGAAAAGGAGUGUCUCGCAAUCGUCUGGCGAAUUAGGAAACUUAGAUGUUACUUCGAAGGCUACCGAUUUGACGUCAUUACGGAUCACUGUAGCGCUUGUGGCAAGACGAAUCGGGCGGCAGGCCAGAAAGGCGGUGGCUCCAUCUACAUGUCGUUCCCGCGUCGAAACAAGGGGCAGACGAAGAAAGUCGGGGGAGAGCUUUAGCAUAGGAAGAGGCAACAUAGGCAGCUGUCAAAUUUCGGCAAAUACCGUAGGUUUGGCUGGAGAGAGCGGAGAUAGCUUCCCAGCUAGAUCAACUCGACGCCAGCUUUCUUUUCCAAUUUGGCUGUCCACAAGGUUAGUUCAAAGUUAAACGGAACCAGGAGCAGGCAUAUACGGGAAAACUGGCGAAAGAAUCUUAUAAAGGAAUACAUCUACAGGCAGCGCUGAAUCCAGUUUCAGGGUUUGGCGCUAAAUAUAUAGCGCAAGUGCGAGCCAAACGGACGGCUUAACAUCGAGCCAGGUGGCAGACAUUUUCCUCGGAGAACGACGGAUCGCUCAGCCCAGGGAAAAACGAAACGGCGGCUCGAAACUCCCGUAGCGAGGAGCUGCAUUUAGCUGAUUACUAAUUAAUAACCUUUGAAUUAGGCCUCUGAAUGGCAGAAAAGGGUUGCAAGCAGGCAUAGAUACGUCCCAAUUAGGAAUCGCGGCAGCACACAAUUUCUUUUCCAUUUCGGCGGACUCUUAUUUUUGGUUAAUUACUCUUAGAGAGCCAUCGAUGACGUAGAAAUCUCCACGUUCCAUUUUGUCGCCAUGUUCCCCUUGCGCACUUAAAGAAGGGAACGAGAAGAGGAGGAACGAAAAGGAGAGGGGAGAAUAACCAAGUCCAGCAGUUGCAAUCGCGGUUUCUUGUUCGGCGGGCGAGCAAAAGUUUUGUCGCGCGGUCUGGCCGUAAUUUGGUGAAUCCGACCAGAGGAAAAUCCGCUGAUCGACGGCGCGGGAAAAACCCCCUUAGUGAGCGAGAAGGCCGGAAAAUAGUGGAGAGAUUUUUUUUGUAUAGUGGAAUAAGUUAUUAUGUAAAUGAAAAGUGGCAGUGCGAAGGAGAGAGGGAAAGAUAAGGAAAAGAGUCCAUCAUUUUUUUUAGUGUCCCUUAUGUGCUCCGUCUUCUUCUUCCUUUUUUUUGUUUCUUUUGUUCAGUUUUAGCAAGCCUAUGAUUAAGCAAUAAGGCACAGUGGGUCAAAGACCAAUACAGAGAGUGAAAAAAUAUUUAAGUUUCCCACAGGUGCGGCAGACUCCAACGGAAGCGCUUUCGUCGGUGGAACUCCGGAUUGUUGGUGAGUGAUUAAAUCACGUAAUUGCAAUGGCCAUGAUCAAUGAGGUAUACAUAAUUUGGUGAAAAAGAAAGAAAGUAAUUACGUCUGAAUUUUCGAUUCCUUGUCCCACUGUCCGCCGCGAGCGAAAUUAGGUCGAAGUUUUAGAGCCUCUGAAGAAAAGGAAGAGGAGGAAUGCGAAUUCAAGGCCAAGGCCAAGAGUGGAAUGUCGGAAUUAGAAUCUGAUUUUUUUCUGUUUGUCCGUCUCUCUUUAACUCUCGCACAUAUGUAUGUUGUUUUUGCCACCAGAGCAGCAAUCGCUCUCUUUAUUUGAUUUGUUUAAUUUUAAUAUUCUUAAGUUCCAUUUGGGUGCCUAUGGCACACUCGAAAUUAGUGGAGAUCUAGAUAUCGAAAUUUUCUCUAUUAUUCGACUCGCAUACAAUUCUGAUAGUUAUUUAAGGUCCCACCUUUUUUCUCGCAUGCGAUUUUUACUCAUUUUUGUUUACGUUUUGUUACUGGCGCAUGCACUUGUCGCUAGCCUCCAUGCUGAAUUACCCAUUUGUUAGCUGUAAGAAAAUUCUCUUAGUG